AUAUUCUUAUACAUGUUCUUUGGUGAACAUACACUCUCAGUUCUAUUGAUCAUAUAUCCUUAGAAUUUCUGGAUCAAAGAUCAGGUAUAUUGAUACUGGCUUUAAUUUCUCUACUAACAAUGCCUUCAAAAGAAAAGGGUUGAAAACAAACAGAAAUUUUAAGUUCUCAUCACAAUUGUCCUCUCAGAAACUUUUGACGUGAACUGUGACUAUUUUGCUAAAAACCUCUUCUCCUUGGGCUUCUCUGACUAUUCUCUGGUGUUUUCACCUACUUCUCAGCCCAUUGGCCCUCUGACUAUUGAAUAUACUCUAAUCUCCUUUCUUGUCACAGUUGGAGACCUGCAAAGUUCACCCUUGAGGGACAUCUCUCCUCUCUCUCUCUCUCUCUCUCUCUCUCUCUCUCAUUUUGUUUGAACCUGUAUGAUUCACAUAUUUAUAUCUCUGUACCAAGCUUCUCUACCAACUUUCCCUGGCCUUUUAAAAUGUAAUUUAUUCCUCUGCCAUGAUUUUCUCUAUCAGUGUGGUUCUUUCCAAAGCAAUAAAUGCAUUGAAAGUCUCUCUUAUGAUGCAUGUAUGCCAUUGCUUCUUUGCUUCACCCAUGGAUGGGAUUCCUCUGUCUCUUCUCUUCUCUGGCUUUGUCUCCAAAUUCUAUCUUAGGAUAUGAGUCUCAAGCAUUUAGUUACUGUCGCUGGAGAUGAGUCAUUAAAGUUAAGGAUGGUAGUGUGGGGGGGGCUGGCUAGAGAAAAAAAUCAUAGUUUCCUCAGUUCUCUUUGUGUCCCUGAUCUUUCCCUUUUUAUCUUAAUCUUUGGAGUACAAAUGGAAUGACCCCUAUCUUGUGGGUUGCUCUGCAUACUAGAUGUUGUCCUAGUGCAUAAUCAGAUGAGGUCAAGCUUUCUGUUUGUCUUACUGUUGUCAAGACUUGCUUUGCUUCUUUGUGCAUUUUUUUCUUUCAUGUUUACUGGCCUACUUAAUUACUUGACUUUAGGUUAGAUCUUCCAACUACUGAAAGU
rnacentral:lncRNA from 1 species